rnacentral:lncRNA from 1 species
ACAACUGCAUGCAUGCUGAAGUCAAAAUUAGCACUUGUUUAGUGGAUUAAUUAGCACUUGUUUAGUGGUUUGCUUUGAUCCUCUGCCUCAGUUUGCCUCAGAUGUGAGAUGGCAAAACAAUGAGAGAUACAAACCUUUCUGCAUGCGUCCGUCCUAACUAGCACUUUCUUUUGGUUAAAAAACUACAUCUAUCUUCACAGGCGCAGCUCUUAAUUUCUAUAUUAAGUUUGACCUAGCUUAUUCCAACGUAAGUAAACCAAAACUUUUAUGUAGAUGACUAAGAAAACCACUACCUAGAAAUGUUAUUUGACUUACUUAAUAGGUAAUCACUUGUUUUCUAUGGAAGCCCUUUACAAUUGACAAAGAC